GCAUGUUAUUUGAACUAAAGAUUCAUCGGUAACGGAUGGGGAUGCGUGACAUUAGAUAGUAGGCGGGGUAACGGCCCACCUAGUCUACGAUGUCUAGGGGUUCUGAGAGGAAGGUCCCCCACACUGGAACUGAGACACGGUCCAGACUCCUACGGGAGGCAGCAGUGAGGAAUAUUGGUCAAUGGUCGGAAGACUGAACCAGCCAAGUAGCGUGAAGGAUGAAGGUUCUAUGGAUUGUAAACUUCUUUUAUACGGGAAUAAAACCUCCCACGUGUGGGAGCUUGUAUGUACCGUAUGAAUAAGCAUCGGCUAACUCCGUG
rnacentral:rRNA from 1 species